rnacentral:rRNA from 1 species
GAACGGGUGAGUAACACGUGGGUGAUCUGCCCUGCACUUUGGGAUAAGCCUGGGAAACUGGGUCUAAUACCGAAUAGGACCACGCGCUUCAUGGUGUGUGGUGGAAAGCUUUUGCGGUGUGGGAUGGGCCCGCGGCCUAUCAGCUUGUUGGUGGGGUAAUGGCCUACCAAGGCGACGACGGGUAGCCGGCCUGAGAGGGUGACCGGCCACACUGGGACUGAGAUACGGCCCAGACUCCUACGGGAGGCAGCAGUGGGGAAUAUUGCACAAUGGGCGCAAGCCUGAUGCAGCGACGCCGCGUGAGGGAUGACGGCCUUCGGGUUGUAAACCUCUUUCAAUAGGGACGAAGCGCAAGUGACGGUACCUAUAGAAGAAGCACCGGCCAACUACGUGCCAGCAGCCGCGGUAAUACGUAGGGUGCGAGCGUUGUCCGGAAUUACUGGGCGUAAAGAGCUCGUAGGUGGUUUGUCGCGUUGUUCGCGAAAACUCACAGCUUAACUGUGGGCGUGCGGGCGAUACGGGCAGACUAGAGUACUGCAGGGGAGACUGGAAUUCCUGGUGUAGCGGUGGAAUGCGCAGAUAUCAGGAGGAACACCGGUGGCGAAGGCGGGUCUCUGGGCAGUAACUGACGCUGAGGAGCGAAAGCGUGGGGAGCGAACAGGAUUAGAUACCCUGGUAGUCCACGCCGUANACGGUGGGUACUAGGUGUGGGUUCCUUCCUUGGGAUCCGUGCCGUAGCUAACGCAUUAAGUACCCCGCCUGGGGAGUACGGCCGCAAGGCUAAAACU